rnacentral:rRNA from 1 species
AUUGAACGCUGGCGGCAGGCCUAACACAUGCAAGUCGAGCGAGCGGCGGACGGGUGAGUAAUGUAUGGGGACUGCCCGAUGGAGGGGGAUAACUACUGGAAACGGUGGCUAAUACCGCAUACUAUCGGAUAACCCAUAUGGGCUUCACUAGUAGGUGGGGUAAAGGCUCAACUAGGCGACGAUCUCUAGCUGGUCUGAGAGGGUGAUCAGCCUCACGCGGACGGAGACACGGCGCACACUCCUACGGAGGCAGCAGUGGGGAAUAUUGGACAACGGGCGCAAGCCUGAAGCCGCCAUGCCGCGUGUAAGAAGAAGGCCUUAGGGGUGUAAAGUACGUUCAUCGGGGAGGCGUUACGCGCAGAAGAUCCACCGGAUAACUCCGUGUCAGCAGCCGCGGUAAUUC